rnacentral:misc_RNA from 1 species
UCGCCUGCAGCUGGAAGUCAGAGAGGAAAGUGACGUCGGGGGAGAAGGCAGAGUUGUGUAAACAAAGUUGGAAAAACGGGUGAAAAUCUUUUUUUUUACUCCCAGUGGCCAAGAUGGCGAGGAGGAGGGAUUAUUCGUAUAUCAGCCCGUGUGUGAAAUGGACGCUUUUCUUCUUCAACUUCAUAUUUUGGCUGUUUGGGAUGUUGGUGUUGGCUAUAGGGCUGUAUGGAGUUGUGUUCACGGCUCAGGACUUACACGGCCUCAAGUCUGUUGAAACGGCCUACAUCAUCAUCACAGAUCUGUCAGGAGUUAUGGUGGUACUCGGCAGCGUUAUCUUCAUUGUGUCCUUCGCAGGGUGUGUAGGGGCUCUGCGGGAGAACCUCUGUCUGCUGAAGCUGUACUUCUGGAGCUUGACAAUCUUCCUAAUUGCUGAAUUGAUGUUUGCUAUUGCCUGCAUCAUUUUCCCAUGGAAGUCUAGGGAGAUUAUUGAACACUUGCUGUCAAAGCGCCUCAUCGAAGAGUACAGGGAGAGCCAAAACACCCAGAACUUUGUUGACUUCCUUCAGACUGAGUUUGCUUGUUGUGGAAUCACGGUAGAAGGUUACUUGGACUGGAAUGCAAAUGAAUACUUCAACUGCUCAGAGUCAAGCCCAAGUGCGGAGAAAUGUGGUGUGCCAGCUUCCUGUUGUUUGAACAGAAAAAAUUUGACACACUUUGACUUUAUGUGUGGGUAUGAUAUGCAAAAUAAAAAACCUCAUGAAGCCUCAGAAACCAUUUACACUGGAGGCUGUGUGACAUCCAUCAUUCAGUUCUUAGAAUCAAACCUCUAUUGGGCUGCUGGAGUCAUAUUUGGGAUCACCUUAUUCCAGAUGUAUGUGACACACCAGGCUCGCUCACUGAUGGACCAGAUUUCCCUACAGCGCUCUCGAUGAAGUGGAUGAUGUGUUCCAGAAGAAAAAAUGUCAUGGCGAGAAAUGUAAUUACGAAGAUAGAUGUGGCAUCCUACUUUCAUCAUGCAAUUGAUUAACUUGUAUCUUCACAGUAAUGUUGAUCAUAAUCUGAUUUAAUAUUCACAUGUACCGUUUGAGUUGUGCAUUCAUAUAGUAUUUUACAGUGAUGUUCUCUUUUGCGUUAUCUCGGCUGUGUUUUGUGACUGGAUAUUUUGUUUGACAUGUGUGGCUCUAUAUAUAUUAUAUUGUUAUUGCUUAUGUUAUGGUAAACACGGAGAACUGAGAAAUGAUGUGAAUUAAGAUGGUAUUUUAUAUAUAUAUAUAUAUAUAUAUAUAUAUAUAUAUAUAUAUAUAUAUAUAUAUAUAUAAAUAAAUAUAUAUAUAUGUAAUGUAUUACACACAUGUAUCUGCACUAAUAUUCAUAUAUUACUAGAUCUCUUUUAAUUGGGGCAAAAAGAGACUUUUGCCAUUUUUCUAUACAUUCUACUUACAUGGAUGCAAGUCCAGAUUUUUUUCACUCUGAUAUGGAUAUUCUAAAAAAAAAGUAUCCUACAGAAUCCUCAGCCAUUUAUUUGAAAUGCUUAGUUCUUUGUGCUUGAAUUAAAGAUUCUCCCUGUUUGCUACAGUAAUAUUCAAAUAUCUUAUCUGUAUUGCCUAAAACUUUGUAUGAUUCAUAAUUCAUGUGGUUGAUGUUAUCCCUGAGCUCCAUUCUGACUUACUCACGCUGCAUUUGGGUGUGCUGUCCUGCUUUCCACGGGGAAUGAAUCUCAGGUUACGAAGACAAAGGGAUGAGGAACUGGAAGGUCAUGCUUACCUGUUACCAAAGCAAUCUUACUAUUACCAAUGAAGUCACAUGACAGAAGGAAGUUGCCGUUUAGGACUGGUUCAAGUUUGGUGAAUGGUUUGGAAAAUGUUUUUCAUCCAGAUUUCAGCAUUCCAUUUUUCUGUGAAAAAGAGAAGAAGUUUUUUUGUUGUUUUUUUUUAGUAAUUGCACUGUGUUGGAAAUUCUCAACCAUGUCAAUACAGAUGCACAUCACUGCAGGGAAAUCCUUAGAUGUUCUCACUUUGAAAUGCAGAAUCCCAUGCCUUGUAGUUUUAGCCAUAAGUAAAAGAGUAUGAUAGACAAUAGAUAGAUAAGUUAAAUGAUAUUAAAAUGAAAAGUGAAUAGACCAGCUAGAUUCUUACAUGUUACUAAAGCUUUCCUCCAGAUGAUCACGUUGUCGGUGCCUUCCAUGAUAAGUUAACAUACCAUAAUAUCUAAAGUUACACAGUAAGUAAGCAGCAGAAAAACAAAAAAAACAAAAAAACAUGGAAGUAGAGUGGAUCUCUUGAUUGCUUAGAAGUGAGCAUGUGUGCUGAGUAUUUUUAUUUUUAUUUUAUUUAUAAUGUUUUAUUUCUGUGAGUGUGUGUGUGUGCGUGUGUGUGUAUAUAUAUAUAUAUAUAUAUAUAUAUAUAUAUAUAUAUAUAUAUAUAUAUAUAUAUUUAUAUAUAUAUAUAUAUAUAUAUAUAUAUAUAUAUCUCAUGUGUGAUGGAAAGUAAGUUCGAGUUUCUAAGCACUAAGUUCUUAAGCCAUAGUAGGAAAACAAAAUUGAGAGUUUGUUUUUCACAUCUUGUUGGAGAAAUGAUGUUAGGAGAGGCUGCUGUUACAAAACUUUGUAAUUGUUAGAUAUUUGUGCCUAUUUGUAGUAGAAAGUUCUAUAUUACAUUUUUUCUUUCUUUUAUAUCUUUAUGUCAGGGUAUUUGAAGAUAUUAAUAAAAAUAUAUAUAUAUUGAUAGAAACAACUGUGUCAUAUCUCAGUGUCAUAGGUUUAUAACAUCAUGUCCUAUAUGCCUACAUUUCUAUAGGCUUAUUUAGGUACAAAUAGAAUGUGGAGAUUGGCUAUUUUUUAAAGAAAUGAAUGAUCAACCUUUUUUGAUUAAAUGUGAUUCAUACUAUAAUCCCAUAGCCAUUUAAUAGAAUAUAUUUUGAUCUAUUUUAUAGAUUUUGUAAGAAAGUUAUUGACUUGAUUGCAAUUUUGUAUACAUUAUCACAUCCCUUUCAGAUCCAUAUAUAGAAGACAAUUUUAGACAUGUUUUUUUUUUAGUCAUUAUAGCCAUGAAAAUUGUAUGAUGAAACCCUGAAUGUUUUUUAUAUACAUUAUAUUUAUCUAUUUAUCAAUCUCUAUCUAUCUAUUCAGUUAUCUCUCUGUCUAUGUGUAGGGGGUAAUUAGAGACAUCAAAAAUGUCUAGAGUUUGUCACUUCUUAAUUGUUGCGAGGUCUGAAAAGGACAAAAUAUGUAUUUUCAUUAGAAUGAUAUAUUUUAUACAUGUAAUUCUAAUAAAAUGGAUGUACCAUGCAAAAUUGCAAUUAAUGAACUAUUUAAUUUCUGCAAUUGAUAUUCAUCAUUUAAAUGUUCAUUCACCAGAACACAGUAGUCUCUUGUGGUUUAUUUUCCUCCUUCAUGUAAAAGGGAGUGAUCUGUCUAAGCUCUUAGGAUAUGGGUGCCAGUACACACACGCACGUACGCACAUACACAAGUGUGUGCGUGUGUACACUUACACAUACAAGUACUUGCAUAAUUCCAUGCAGUCAGAUAGACUGAAUAGUCAGCUGUAUCAUACAGCUGUAAUAGGCAGCACAAAGAGCACUUUUUAGGAACAAAAGCAGUCUCUAGUACUCACGUGUUUUUAAAGGAGAGUAAAGAAGAGCCUCUGUACAAUCUUAUGCAAGACUGAGCUUUUAUUUGAGUACAGGCCUAAACUUUAAUGUUUUGGACAGAGUAGGGUUUUGAUGUCGUUUUAUAAAUCAGUGGGAUUUAGCAGCUUGUUGUUUGAGUGGAUUGCAGUGUCUAUCAUGAUACCAAAGAAGUAAACUGCAUUUCAGUGAUACACAAUGAUUGUAUAAUUUAGAUUUUUUAUUAUUAUUAUUAUUAAUAGUUAUUAAUGUUAUUGUGUUGUAAAUGUAUGUCAGUGGGAUUUUUAAAAUUAUGACUUAGGUAGUAGACAAAGGGAGAGACAAAUUCUAAAUUAUAUUUAGGGCUGUUUAUUUUUUUGUGCCAUAACCGAGUUGGAUUAAUCUUGAGCAAAAAUAUGGUUGGGGUCUGUCAUUGCAUCUCAGUAGUCCACAGUUUCUUCAAAUAUAUUAAUGAUGAAUUGAAUCUUCACUUGAGUUUGGUGUGAUAUCAAGGCAGGAUGUCUCCAGAAAGGUUAUGGAGGAUUCUUCCAGUGUUAAAUUCUGUGCAGCUGACAUACAUUUUACUGAAUUGAACACAAGACUAUAGUGUAUUCAUUAUUCAUUAUCUUGGUCAGGAAAGUUCCAUUUUUUUAGACCCAAACUAUACCAUCCUUAAUCCCUUUCAUUAGAUCAGCAACUGUAUUAGAAUUAGAUAUUCUUGGAUGAAAAUGCUCAUAUUUUUUUAGAUUGAAAAAUCUGUAUUUGUAAAGAGAACAAAACCUCUUUAUUUUAUUGACAGUUAACAUGACUUCUUACAUUUUCUAUCAUUUAGGAUAUUUCCAAUUCUAUUGUAAAGAAAGUGUAUGUAGAUUCAUAAGGUAGAUAAUAUGUAAUUAACGCACAUAAUGCACAAUUAACCAUACAUGUAUAGGAUACAAAUAUCCAUUGCAUUUAGAAAGAAAAUUAUCCCUUAUUGGUGAAUGGUAUCUUGUUAUUCAUAAAAUACUUACCAAGCAAGAAGUAGAAGCAUUGAAGCUCUAAGGGUCAUAUUGAUAACCAGCAUUGAAGUUUAUGCAGCCUAAGAAGAACUGGUCUGAGAGAGAUCUUGUAGCCUUAAGUUGAGUUACUAAAGUAAGUUAAGGGGACAUAUUACAUGAACAAGUAUGGUGUACCUGUCUGCAAGGAGAGAAUAGUAGUAUUGUGUUUCAAUGCUUCCUGCAGUAAUAUAGGUUGAUCUUAAUAUUAUAAUCAUUACAAAGGCAAUUCUUAAUUCCAUACAUUGUACAUGUUUCCUUUGCCCAUACUAUUGUUUUUCCAUCAUGAUAUCAAAGACUAACUUGUAAAAUUUUAAAUAACUUAUGUCAACUGUAUUUUCUUGACAUAUAUUGCUGUAUAUUUUCUUAUGACAGGUUUUUGUUAAAUAAUGUAUAGUGCUGUGGUGGUCCUAACAGCUUUGGAGAUAAUGUAUGUCCUAGGUAUUUAUCCUUUGAAUUACAGCUUUUGUAAUGAUUAAAACAUUCAAGAAUACUGGAUAUUAAAAAGUGACUGAUACGUGUUAAAUGUGCCUUGUAUGUUGAACUGUCUCACUUCUGUUGACUAUAGUUUAUCAUAGACUUGUAUCUUAAAAAUGCAUUUACAGUAAAUAGUUCAUAGGUUUAGAACAAGCUUUAACAAAAUACACUGGUUAUAUAGAUACUGUACACAUGUUCCCUUUUUUUAUUGAUAUCUAAUAAAUAUAUACUUGAUUUA